rnacentral:rRNA from 1 species
AGCGAGCGCUGGCGGCAGGCCUAACACAUGCAAGUCGAACGAACCCUUCGGGGUUAGUGACGGACGGGUGAGUAACACGUGGGAACGUGCCUUUAGGUUCGGAAUAACUCAGGGAAACUUGUGCUAAUACCGAAUGUGCCCUUCGGGGGAAAGAUUUAUCGCCUUUAGAGCGGCCCGCGUCUGAUUAGCUAGUUGGUGAGGUAAUGGCUCACCAAGGCUACGAUCAGUAGCUGGUCUGAGAGGAUGACCAGCCACAUUGGGACUGAGACACGGCCCAAACUCCUACGGGAGGCAGCAGUGGGGAAUCUUGCGCAAUGGGCGAAAGCCUGACGCAGCCAUGCCGCGUGGAUGAUGAAGGUCUUAGGAUUGUAAAAUCCUUUCACCGGUGAAGAUAAUGACUGUACCCAAAGAAUAAGCACCGGCUAACUUCGUGCCAGCCGCCACGGUAACAC